rfam:Danio rerio chromosome 14, GRCz11 reference primary assembly.
AGCCACAGCCAUAUCACCCUGCAGCCCAAGACCGGCUACUCACUGAAGCUAAGCAGGGCUGAGCCUGGUCAGUACCUAGAUGGAAGACCACAUGGGAAAACUGGGUUACUGUUGGAA